UACUCAGCAGAGUCCUGUUAAAGCGCUCAACAGGGUUAGCUUGCGGAUGGUAUGGCGUGGUGCGAGAGUGAUACAUACCACUGUACUUUUGAAGUUUGUGAAACAGCUGGUUCUCAAACUCUCGUCCUUGGUCGUGGUGAAGCCUGGAUGGAAAACCAAAGCGUGGGAUGAAGUCAUCAAACAGCUUCUUUGCAGCAGUUUUCCCAGCCUUAUCUUUGGUUGCAUAGGCUUGCGCAUAUUUGGUGAAAUGGUCCUCUAAAACCAGGAUAUACUCUUCACCUCCCUUGCAUCUCUCCAGAUGUACAAAGUCUAUGGAGACCAUCUCAAAUGGGGCAGAGGUCUCAAUACUCUGGAGUGGUGUUCUUGUGAUUCUGUUUGGCUUCUUCCUCUUGAUGCAGGCACAAACCUGUGUGACAUGAUGUUCCACCUCCUGUCUCAUUUUUGGCCAGAAGAAACGUCCUCGAGCCAGAGCAACCAUCCGGUCAGCACCUAAGUGUCCCAUCUCCUCAUGGAGGUACUUGUACACCAGGGGCUUCAUUGGCUCUGGCACCACCAGUUGUGUCCUGUUUGUUUUUCUCCACAAGAGCCCAUCCGCAUCCAGCUCCAGCCUUGGCCACUCCCUGAGAAGAGCGCGAACCUGCUUAUUUUCAGCUGCUUUAUCUCUGUACUUCAGGUAAGUAUGGUUCCUUUUCAGGUUGAUGACUCUCUGGAUUAUUGGGUCUGCCUGCUGCUGGACCAGGAUGUCUUGGAUGGUGAAAGGCUGGAUUGGUGAUACAACACUGCCAUCUUGUGAUAAAACAUCCACAUUGCAGUACACUCUUCCAUGAUGGUUUCCAUGGGUGUGGGCCUACGGGACAGGAAGUCAGCGUCCCCGUUAGCUGUCCCAGGUCUGUACUUCAGGGUGAAUCUAUAGUCUGCCAGCUCUGCAACCCAGCGAUGGCCAGUAGCAUUGAGUUUUGCUGAUUUGGUGACAUAGGUGAGUGGGUUAUUAUCACUGUAGACAGUGAAGUGAGGUGCAUGGAACAGGUAAUCACGGAAACGUUCAGUGAUAGCCCAUUUCAGUGCGAGGAAUUCCAGUUUACCUGAGUGCAGCUUGUAAUUCUUUUCAGCUGGAGAGAGGGUUCUGGAUCCGUAGCCGAUAACUCUCAGAAUACCACCCUGGCGCUGGUACAGUACAGCUCCGAGUCCUUCUUCAGAGGCGUCAACAUGAAGGAUGAAAGGUCGCUCGAGGUCAGGAUACGCCAUGACAGGUGGAUUGGUGAGCUUAUUCACAAAGGUCUCCAAAAUGGCUUUGUGUGCAUCUGUCCACUGUACAGGUGAGGAGGGCGAGAGCUGGUAGCUGGCACGCUUCAUCCCCUUCUUGUGGUGGUGCUUUGGCUCACAUUUUGGCUUUGCCAGCAGCUCAUACAGUGGCUUCGCAGUCCUGGAGAAGUCCUGGAUGUAAGCUCUGUAGUAGCUCAGGAAUCCAAGGAGCUUUCUCACCUCCUUCACUGUAGCUGGGGUCUGGUGUGCGAGCGCCUUUACUGCCUCCACCUCCUUUGGGUUCAUCCUGUAUCCUUCUGCAGAGAUGACACGACCAACAUAGGUUACUUGUGGCUUGAAAAAUUCACAUUUACCUGCUCUGAGCUUGAUUCCACAGGCUUUCUGUCGUUGCAGGACUUGUCUGACAUUGUGCACAUGUUGGUCAAAUGUGCGGCUGAACACAAGGACAUCAUCCAGGACGUUCAAGCUCUGUGGUGGCGACGAGGAUGGGGACAACCACAGGCUUGUCACUCAUCCCAGCUACAGCAUUCUGGGACAGUGUGAACUCCACUUCAAUCCAGCCUUGGUACGGGAUCUGUGUUCCAUUGGCGGCAGACAGGUCCAGUCCUCCUUCCUCCAGUAACUCCUCCACAGGCCGCACGGCAACGUCUGGUUGUAGGCAGCAGUCAUUUUCUCCAGUAGGACCUCAUCUGUUACUGUUGGAUUCUGUAGGUGAGGCUUUAAAUCUGUGCGAAUGGUGUCAUCAUGGAGUCCAGUCCAUGGCUCGAACUAGAAACUGGACUGGAGUCUCUCUGGGCUCUUGUGCAGCACGUGGUGAACAGCAGUAGCACUCCUUUCAGAAAAGUUCAUAGCAGUAGUGGUGGUUGACAUUGUGGCAGAGGUGCGUUGUCUUACCACAUUCUCUGGGAUGGGUGCAGUACCAUCUGUGGCCGCUGGGGAGCGGUGUAGCGACGUGGGACCGGACUUUGACAACGCUUUUAAUUCAUCAAUUUUAUCAGUCACUUUCAACAAUAAGGACAGUCCUUCAUCUUCAAGCGAUGUGACAUCUUCCCCCUCUAAGUGCAGGAGAAUAAUCCUUCUCACUUUGCGAGGUGAGUCCUUAUCA